GGAGGGGGCGAGCGUUGUUCGGAAUCAUUGGGCGUAAAGGGCGCGUAGGCGGCCGUCCAAGUCGGGUGUGAAAUCCCUCGGCUCAACCGAGGAACUGCACUCGAUACUGGUCGGCUAGAGUCCGGGAGGGGAUGGUGGAAUUCCCAGUGUAGCGGUGAAAUGCGUAGAUAUUGGGAAGAACACCGGUGGCGAAGGCGGCCAUCUGGACCGGAACUGACGCUGAGGCGCGAAAGCCAGGGGAGCGAAUGGGAUUAGAUACCCCGGUAGUCCUGGCUGUAAACGAUGGGCACUUGGUGUGGCGGGUACUGACCCCCGCCGUGCCGAAGCUAACGCGUUAAGUGCCCCGCCUGGGGAGUACGGUCGCAAGGCUG
rnacentral:rRNA from 1 species